GGGCGCAAGCCUGAUGCAGCGACGCCGCGUGAGGGAUGGAGGCCUUCGGGUUGUAAACUUCUUUUGCUCUGAACAAGGCGCACCAUGGGGUGUGUUGAGUGUAGGGGUUGAUUAGCGCCGGCUAACUACGUGCCAGCAGCCGCGGUAAUACGUAGGGCGCGAGCGUUGUCCGGAAUUAUUGGGCGUAAAGGGCUUGUAGGUGGCUGGUUGCGUCUGUCGUGAAAGCUCAUGGCUUAACUGUGGGUUUGCGGUGGGUACGGGCUGGCUUGAGUGCAGUAGGGGAGACUGGAAUUCCUGGUGUAACGGUGGAAUGCGCAGAUAUCGGGAAGAACACC
rnacentral:rRNA from 1 species